CAACUGUGCUCACCUUGCCUUUGAUGAUUAAGUGCUAGCACCUGGCCCUUGCCACCUCAGAAUACAGUUAUUUCCAUUACAUGUACCUUUUUCAGUUGAGUGACUGAGGUUCCCACUGUAAAGUCCAGCUUAAACAGAAGAGUAACUACGGAGCUCUUCAGGGAUGCUGGGGCUCCCCUAACAAAUCUGUUUCUCAAUGUGUUCAUGAGAGGUGUGUCUUCUGGAUUCUUCCAGUGUGGGCAAAGAACAUGGACUCACAGACACUGGAUGGCUUGCACAAUGUCUUGAAGCCCCAAAGACUAGGUUGAAAUGCACAUGCAUUUUCACAAUACCACGCUUCCUCAUCUCUGUAAAGCUUACAUUUUAAUCCUCAUACAAGCUUUUGAUUCUGGAGGCUGAGAAGUCCAUGAUCAAGGGGUUGGCAGGUUCAGUCUCUGGUUCCAAGAUGGUGUCUUGUUGCUGCAUCCUCCAGAGAGGAGUAACAUUUUGUCCUCACGUGGCAGAAUAGUGGAAGAGAGAGAACCCACCCCUGAAAUCCUGUUUUAUAGCUGUAUUAAUCCACUUACGAGUUCAGCACUUUCACGACCUAAACACUCGCCAAAGACGUCAUCUUCCAACACUGCUGCAGUGGGGAUCAUGUUUCUAACACAUGAUUUUGGAGAACAUAUUCAAACCAUUGCAGUGUUAUCAGCUUUUUCCUACUUCUUCACUGUAAUACUAGAGUUCACAUUUACUGAAAAGGGAACAUACAAACUGAAUUGAGUGUGUUUAGAGAUCUGAUAUAGAUUUUUUAAAUAUGAAUUUUGUUGAAAAACAGUCCUCAAUAA
rnacentral:lncRNA from 1 species